AGAGUUUGAUCCUGGCUCAGAAUCAACGCUGGCGGCGUGCCUAACACAUGCAAGUCGCACGAGAAAGGGUAGCAAUACCUGAGUACAGUGGCGCACGGGUGAGUAACACGUGAAUAAUCUACCUCCGAGUGGGGAAUAACUUAGGGAAACCUGAGCUAAUACCGCAUAACACUUACGAGUCAAAGCAGCAAUGCGCUUGGAGAGGAGUUCGCGGCAGAUUAGUUAGUUGGCGGGGUAAUGGCCCACCAAGACGAUGAUCUGUAUCCGGCCUGAGAGGGCGCACGGACACACUGGAACUGAAACACGGUCCAGACUCCUACGGGAGGCAGCAGUGGGGAAUUUUGCGCAAUGGGGGAAACCCUGACGCAGCAACGCCGCGUGGAGGAUGAAAUCCCUUGGGAUGUAAACUCCUUUCGAUCGGGACGAUUAUGACGGUACCGGAAGAAGAAGCCCCGGCUAACUUCGUGCCAGCAGCCGCGGUAAUACGAGGGGGGCGAGCGUUGUUCGGAAUUAUUGGGCGUAAAGGGUGCGUAGGCGGUUUGAUAAGUCUGAUGUGAAAUCUAUGGGCUCAACCCAUAGCCUGCAUUAGAAACUGUCGGGCUUGAGUAUGGGAGAGGUGAGUGGAAUUUCCGGUGUAGCGGUGAAAUGCGUAGAUAUCGGAAGGAACACCUGUGGCGAAAGCGGCUCACUGGACCAUUACUGACGCUGAUGCACGAAAGCUAGGGGAGCAAACAGGAUUAGAUACCCCCGUAGUCC
rnacentral:rRNA from 1 species